CAAAGUGUAGUAUCUGUUCUUAUCAGCUUAAUAUCUGAUACGUCCUCCAUCGGAGGACUUCGAUAUUAAACUGAUUUUUGGAACACGGCGAAGUGUCAGGGGCUUGCUCCGUCUUUGCCACGGGUUGAC
rnacentral:snRNA from 1 species